GAGGUUUCACAGCAACUCAGACAACUCCGGGAGAGGUGACCAAGGGUCCCACGCUGGCUGCCUCUGCAACCCCAUGAAGCAGGGCCCUGCUGAUUACACCCAGCCUGAUCUCAAGACCCUGGAAAGUCUGAGGGAGGACGUGGCACACUGACAUGGGAUGGUCUAGAGGUUCCCAGAAAGGCCCCAGGCUGUGGCCUUGAGAUUUAUUGGGGUCCAGGCUUGGGUGGGGACCACUUCCUGGAAAUACACUAGUGAAGGGUUGGUGGCAGGGAUGCAGGGAGGCCACACGGUGUCCCCUAGGGUCCCCUCCCAGUCGAGUCCCGGCCUAGCCCAGACAGGGCAUGGGGGCCAGCUCUUGGGGGCUUCUGGGAAGACAGAAUGGGGUAGAUUCUGAGGGCCAGGCUCCCUGUGGUGGCACUUGGACAGCGGAUGAUGGGAAGAUGCUGAGGGGCCAGCCAUGAGCGGUCUCGUGUGGCUUGUUUCUGUUAUUCCAGAAAGGUGUGAGUUGGAGCACUGUUGAAAGAAGGAUUUCAGGAGCAAUACAGGAAGCCCAAUUUUGGAGACAAAUUUACCCAAAAAAUUAUUAAUAGUUUCUCUGAAAUUCAAAUUGCACUGGGUGUCUUAAACAUCUAUUUUUAUUUUGGCUAAGUCUGGCAACCCCACUUGAGAAGAGCACUGUCUCAGAGUUCGGGCUGCGGAUUCUUUACUCCUCAAAUCAAGCCAAGCGGUGCCAAGCAGGCAGUGGUGUUACCUGUCACGCCAGGUCCUCACUCUCAGCCCACUCAACUGAGGCUUCUCCUUGUGUUCCCAUUUCCAGCCAAGACCACCAUCAGAACCCCUAGGAGCCCACCCUGGUGCCCACAGCACCCCAUCAGCACCUCCCGCAGAGCCUCCUCACAGCUCUCCUUGCCUCCCAACUCCAAUUCCAACCCAGAGGCCAAAGGGCAUUUUCCAUCCUGCAGCCCACCACAUCUUGCACCCUUGAACCCCUUCCACACCCUCCUUCCUCAUUGCCAAGCUGCCCAGGGGGAGCUUAAAGGCCCAGAGGGCCUGGCCUGUGCCUCCUUCUCCUGCCUGUCUGCCCCUACACCUGCCUUGUCCUUCUCUGGCCUGCCUCCCAGAACUGCUUUCAGGUCCUGGAAUAGCUUCUUUCUCAUCUUUGGGCCACUUUCUCUGGCACACUCUCCCCUGUGCCGUGCGUUUGUGGAAGGAUGACGGCAUAUCCUUAAAGUCUCAGCUUUAUACAGCCCCACUCCCCACCAGGCUGGACCAGGACAUGGUCCCUGACUCCAAAUCUGGGGCAAGGCCCUCUUUUGAAUCUCUUCCCCCAUGACUAUGAAGUUAUUUUCCAUAUUACAACUGUCCCCGUCUGUCUCACCCACCAGAUUGGGAGUGUUUUGCAGACAGGUGCUGUCUCAUUUGCUCAUUCAUCCAUCACAUAAUUGUUAAACACGUAUAUUUUUGGGCACUGUGCUAGUUGCCAAGGACAUAUAAAUGAGCAAGUCAUCACAUUUUAGUGUGUAUGAGUGUCAUACAAUAAGCAAUUUAGGAAAUAAACAGAAGAUAUGACAGGUGGUGACAUGUGCUAUGGAGGAGGAUAAAGCAGGGAGAGGGAGAGAGUGGCAGGGGACUCUACACUGGGUUUCAGCAGAGAGACAGUGGAGAGCAACCCCAGGGUGCUGGGUUUGGGGGUGCAGGAGAGAGUCAGCCAGCUGGCCUCAGGUGACUGCAGCCUAGAGGGGAGGGCUAGAGUCCCACAGCCUUUUGUCCACUUGGUGGCGGUGGACUUCGAGAGCACUGAAGGUGAGCCUCUUCUGAGAUAAAGCUCUUGGGCCUGGGUGGCCCCAGGUUGGGGUACCCUUUUUUUUUUUGGUACCGGGGAUCAAACUCGGGUCGUUGCACUUGCAAGGCAGGCAACAGAACCAUUGAGCUAAAUCCCCAGCCCUGGGGUACCCUCUAAGAGGAAGCAAACUCAAUGUGGAGGAAAACUUCCCUAGUUGGGCCAGGAGGAUCCCACAGAGUGUGAGAAAGCAGUAAGCUUCUGUACAAAACUCUCCAGUCUCAGGAGGUUGGCCGCCAGGAGUGAGAGUUGACAGAAAUGAAAGAAAUGCAGGUUUACAGGGGAGAUGUUUAAAAAGAGAGAGACAAGUACAAAGAUGAGCAUAUAAAACAAGUAGAGUUAAAGAGAGAGAUGUGGGAGAAUGUGAAACUCCUAAAAUGAAAAAUGUUAUUCAAGAUCUGAAAUUUAAUAUAGUUGAAUAGAGAAUUAAUGAGCCAGAAGUUAUUUAUAAAGAAUGAAGGAAAGAGGGGUAAAAAGUUGGAUAAUAUAAAGAAUGAUUCAGAGAGAUAAAGAAUAGAAUGAGAAGAUCAUAUAUAUAUUUGUGUUCCAGAAGAAGAAAAUAAAGGAAAUGGAAAAUAGGCAACAUUCGAAGAUAAAAUGGCAUUAGCUUUUCUAGGAGUGAAGAAAAACAGAUCUAUAGGACCAGGAAGCACAAAGUGUCUCUGGCAUAAUAUAUAAAAAUAAAUUCAUGCUUAUACACAUUUUAUGGAAACUACAGAGUGCCAAAGGCAGAGGAAGAUGAUGAAAGCCAUCACUGAGAAAGGACAGAUUGUCUCCAGGGGGAUGACAAAAUGUGAGCCAACUUCUCCAAAACCAUGACAGAGACUAAGUCUGGAAUUACAUCUUUAAAGUGAAGAACAAAUAAAGAUGCCUCUGAUGUCUGAUUUUGGCUGCUUGUGAUGGGCAAACUUCCCGCUGCCAAAGGACCAGUCUUUCUACAUUCUACACCAGGGCCCUCUCCAGUAACGGAGGAAAGCCUAGAAUGGGGAGGCGACGGCUGGGGGAGAAGUGCUCCUGAUCUUCGUGAAGACAAUGCCAGAGCUCGCAGAGGUCCAGAGGAACCCAGCCCACUGCCAAAGCAGCGACCUUGACAAUGCCCUUGUGUUGGGGUUUCCACUGCCCACCUCAGCUGGCUUCCCAACAGAACCCUGGUGCUAGCAUCACCUUCUACUUACACUGCUUCUACCC
ensembl:lncRNA